GAUCAAGGUGUCUCAUCCAAAAACGGAUCACGAGGGAAGCCCUCGUUCUUUUGUACCACACGGUGGGUUGAAAUGACUGGGACAUUUUUGAUUUUCAACCCAGGUUUCUGCCGUUGGAUAGUAGGUAUGAUAUGAGCCAGGGUUAGGUCACAAAGUGCUAAGCGCAUCGACCUCAUUUCAACUCUCAAGUGUUCAAAUUAUACUCCUGUAUAUAAAGGACGAGAUUUAUCAGCGUGACUGAGGAAAAACUGGAAAGUAGGAUAAUUCCCAGUCCAGUCAAGUCUUUCCAUCUCACCUAACUGAAGUUGCAUCAGCUUAUUAUACCUGAAGACAUCCAGUUGCCACAAGUCGAUCAAUGGUCACUUACUAUGUGCAGAAUGCUAUACUGCUUGGAAAAGUACAUUGUGAUCAUAUUUACUGGGCGCUUACUAUGUGCACGGCACUGUCCUGAACGUUUGGGAGAGCACAAUGUAACGGCGUUGGGUACAGGGCCGUUUCUCCAACCUCUUUGCUGAAAUUCUUGCAUUUCCCGGAACUCUGGCUGUGCUUUACUUUAGAACUGUGACCUGGGGAGGAGGUGUGUGACCUUGUUUUGUGGAGUGACAAGUUUACUGAACACGGUGAUCUCCGACAAUAUAAAACACGGAGAUAACAGGAAGAAAAUGAAGUCAACCGUUUCCUAGUCCUAAAACCGCAUUGAUUUCAAAAUGAAGUUCCCGUUAAUGAAACGGAAGAAUGUGAAGAAAAUCAAAGGCUGCGAGAAUGAGGAGAAUAUGGCUACCCCUAUGGGACUGGAAGAUCGAUGCCGAAUUUUGUCAUCUAGUAACCAAGCAGAGAUCACCCUGCUGUCGGCUCUCUACGUGUCCACUGACCAUUCAUUCAUUUAAUCGUAUUUAUUGAGUGCUUACUGUGUGCAGAGUACUGUAUUAAGCGUUUGGGAGAGUAUGUUUCAAUAAUAAACAGUCACAUUCCUUGCCCACGACGAGUUUAGAGUCUAGAGUUGGGCAGAUGGACACCAAUACAAAUAAAUAAAAUAAAAUUACAAAUAUAUACCUAAGUGCUGUGGGGCUGGGAGAGGGGAAGAGCAAAGGGAGCAAGUCAGGGUGAGGCAGAAAGACGUGGGAGAUGAGGAAAAGUGGGGCUUAGUCUGGGAAGGCCUCUUGGCAGAGAUGGGCCUUCAAAAGGCUUUGAAGUUGCGGGGGAGAGUAAUCAUUUGUCGGAUUUGAGGGAGGGCAGAGGCAAGACGUGAGCUAGGGGUCGGCCGAUGGGAGUUUCUUGCAGGAAAACACUCAGCUCUUUCCAGUAUAAUCCCACCAAUCAAUCAUUGGUUUUUAUAGAGCAUUUACUAUGAACAGAGCACCGUACUAAGCAUUUGGAAACUGCAAGGCACGUCCCCUCCAAGAGGCCUUGCUAAGGCCCCCUUUCCUCUUCUCCCACUCCCUUCUGCGUCGCCCUGACUUGCUCCCUUUAUUCAUUCCCCCCCCCCCCCAGCCCCACAGCACUUAUGUACGUAUCCAUAAUUUAUUCAUAUUAAUGUCAGACUCCCCCUCUAGACUGUAAACUCAUUGUGGGCAGGGAAUGAAUCUGUUUAUUGUACUCCCUCAAGAGCUUAGUACAGUGCUCAGCACAUAGUAAGCGCUCAAUAGACAAGAUUGACUAACCGAUAGUCAACCGAAAGCCCCUCUAGACUGUAAGCUUCUGUGCACAGGGAACAUAUCUAUCAACUCUGUAAUAUUGUACUCUCCCAGGUGCUUAGUACAAUGCUCUGUAUUCAGUAAGCUCGCACUAAAUAUGAUUAAUUGGUUGAUUGAUUGAUUGAUUGAAAUGGUACCUCUAAAGAGGCUUCGUGGAUAGAGCACG
rnacentral:lncRNA from 1 species